rnacentral:tRNA from 1 species
CUCCCCGUAGUUCAACGGACAGAACAAGAGGUUUCUAACCUCUAAAUGCGGGUUCGAUUCCUGCCGGGGAGA